GGCUCCAUAGCUCAGCGGUAGAGCAGGGGACUCAUAAGCCCAAGGUCGCAAGUUCAAAUCUCGCUGGAGCCA
rnacentral:tRNA from 1 species